rnacentral:rRNA from 1 species
AUUGAACGCUGGCGGCAUGCCUUACACAUGCAAGUCGAACGGCAGCACGGGUGCUUGCCCCUGGUGGCGAGUGGCGAACGGGUGAGUAAUACAUCGGAACAUGUCCUGUAGUGGGGGAUAGCCCGGCGAAAGCCGGAUUAAUACCACAUACGAUCUACGGAUGAAAGCGGGGGACCUUCGGGCCUCGCGCUAUAGGGUUGGCCGAUGGCUGAUUAGCUAGUUGGUGGGGUAAAGGCCUACCAAGGCGACGAUCAGUAGCUGGUCUGAGAGGACGACCAGCCACACUGGGACUGAGACACGGCCCAGACUCCUACGGGAGGCAGCAGUGGGGAAUUUUGGACAAUGGGCGAAAGCCUGAUCCAGCAAUGCCGCGUGUGUGAAGAAGGCCUUCGGGUUGUAAAGCACUUUUGUCCGGAAAGAAAUCCUUGGCCCUAAUACGGUCGGGGGAUGACGGUACCGGAAGAAUAAGCACCGGCUAACUACGUG